rnacentral:rRNA from 1 species
CUGCCGGCAGCUGAGCUGCUGGAGCUGGCCGCGGAAGGAACUCCUCCUCUGCCGUGCAAGGACGUGCUGCAGUUUACGGACACCUGCGGCAUCCCCGAGAUCGAUCUAAACAAGGUGUCCCCGGAGUUUAACGUUAGAGGAUUAGGGCGGCCAAACAAGUGCAUUGACGUUAAAAAAGGCCUUCAAUUUGCUUCGGCUUCGAUUAUUUGUCUACAGGAAACAAAACUUCAGGAAGUCUCAACUUUCAAAGCAAUCUCUUUCCUUCCUCUCGGUCUUCGAUCUUAUCAUUUUCUGCCUUCUAUUGGUGCCUCUGGUGGGGUCCUAACUGCGUGGGAUGCAAAUCUUGAGUGCACUAAAGUUCAGAUUGAUCGCUUCGCUAUCUCUUGUUGGUUUUCCUUCCGUGCGAAUGACACUUCGUUCGUUGUGACAAAUGUAUAUGGACCUUGUGACCAUGCUACUAAAUCAGAUUUUCUAGACUCCCUCAUACCUCUGUCUCAAAUGAUUAACUGUCCUUGGACGAUUAUGGGGGACUUUAACCUUGUUUUAAGGCCGUCUGACAAAUCAUCGGCAAAUUUCAACACUAAUGAGGCCAGCAUUUUCGCUUCUGCAAUCAACUCCUUGCACCUUCAGGAAGUUCCUCUCCUGGAUAGGCUCUACACUUGGUCCAACCAACAGGACAACCCGAUCCUUGUUCGCUUAGACAGAACUUUUGUCAACUUAAAUUGGACCAAUCUGUUCCCUGACUCAACUCUCUCAUCCCUUGCGCGCACUACCUUUGACCACGUUCCCAUCCUUCUGACGGCU